GAUGAACGCUGGCGGCGUGCCUAAUACAUGCAAGUCGAGCGAACGGACGAGAAGCUUGCUUCUCUGAUGUUAGCGGCGGACGGGUGAGUAACACGUGGAUAACCUACCUAUAAGACUGGGAUAACUUCGGGAAACCGGAGCUAAUACCGGAUAAUAUUUUGAACCGCAUGGUUCAAAAGUGAAAGACGGUCUUGCUGUCACUUAUAGAUGGAUCCGCGCUGCAUUAGCUAGUUGGUAAGGUAACGGCUUACCAAGGCAACGAUGCAUAGCCGACGGGAGAGAGUGAUCGGCCACACUGGAACUGGGACACGGUCCAGACUCCUGCGGGAGGCAGCAGUAGGGAAUCUUCCGCAAUGGGCGAAAGCCUGACGGAGCAGCGCGGCGUGAGUGAUGGAGGUCUUCGGAUCGUAAAACUCUGUUAUUAGGGAAGAACAUAUGUGUAAGUAACUGUGCACAGCUUGACGGUACCUAAUCAGAAAGCCACGGCUAACUACGUG
rnacentral:rRNA from 1 species